CCGGGUGAAGCUCAGUCAGGUCGAGCACUGGUUUUGGGAACCAGAUGCCGCAGGUUCGAAUCCUGCUACCCGGACCA
rnacentral:tRNA from 2 species